ACGGUAGCACAGAGAGCUUGCUCUUGGGUGACGAGUGGCGGACGGGUGAGUAAUGUCUGGGGAUCUGCCCGAUAGAGGGGGAUAACCACUGGAAACGGUGGCUAAUACCGCAUAACGUCGCAAGACCAAAGAGGGGGACCUUCGGGCCUCUCACUAUCGGAUGAACCCAGAUGGGAUUAGCUAGUAGGCGGGGUAAUGGCCCACCUAGGCGACGAUCCCUAGCUGGUCUGAGAGGAUGACCAGCCACACUGGAACUGAGACACGGUCCAGACUCCUACGGGAGGCAGCAGUGGGGAAUAUUGCACAAUGGGCGCAAGCCUGAUGCAGCCAUGCCGCGUGUAUGAAGAAGGCCUUCGGGUUGUAAAGUACUUUCAGCGGGGAGGAAGGCGAUGCGGUUAAUAACCGCGUCGAUUGACGUUACCCGCAGAAGAAGCACCGGCUAACUCCGUGCCAGCAGCCGCGGUAAUACGGAGGGUGCAAGCGUUAAUCG
rnacentral:rRNA from 1 species